AACGCACAUUGCGCCCAUUGGCAUUCCGAUGGGCAUGCCUGUUCGAGCGUCAUUAUCCUCCCUCAAACCCCUGGGUUUGGUGUUGGACUCUGUUGUGCGGUUUGUGGCACAACUGGUCUGAAAGACAAUGACGGCGUCCGUGGGACCCUCGGUGCAACGAGCUUUUUCCAAAGCACGCGUCGAGUGUUACAGUCUCUCCGGGCCGGUCUCCUUUUUAUCAUUUUUCUAAGGUUGACCUCGGAUCAGGUAGGAAUACCCGCUGAACUUAA
rnacentral:misc_RNA from 1 species